GACGAACGCUGGCGGCGUGCUUAACACAUGCAAGUCGAACGGAAAGGCCCUGCUUUUGUGGGGUGCUCGAGAGGCGAACGGGUGAGUAACACGUGUGUAACCUGCCCUUGACUUUGGGAUAACUUCAGGAAACUGGGGCUAAUACCGGAUAGGAGCUCCUGCUGCAUGGGGGGGGUUGGAAAGUUUCGGCUGUUGGGGAUGGAUUAGCGGCUUAUGCGCUUGUUGGUGGGGUAGUGGUUUACGAAGGGUUUGACGGGUAGCCGGCCUGGGAGGUUGACCGGCCACCUUGGGCCUGCGAUACGGCGCAGACUGCUACGGGAGGCAGCAGUGGGGAAUAUUGCGCAAUGGGCGGAAGCCUGAGGCAGCAACGCCGCGUGCGGGAUGACGGCCUUCGGGUUGUGAACCGCUUUCGCCUGUGACGAAGCGUGAGUGACGGUAAUGAGUAAGGAAGCACCGGCUAACUACGUG
rnacentral:rRNA from 1 species